rnacentral:rRNA from 1 species
UAGUCCACGCCGUAAACGAUGAGUACUAAGUGUUGGGGGUCGAACCUCAGUGCUGCAGUUAACGCAAUAAGUACUCCGCCUGAGUAGUACGUUCGCAAGAAUGAAACUCAAAGGAAUUGACGGGGGCCCGCACAAGCGGUGGAGCAUGUGGUUUAAUUCGAAGCAACGCGAAGAACCUUACCAGGUCUUGACGUCGAUCUAAAAGCACUAGAGAUAGUGAAAUAGUUAUAGAGAAGAC